rnacentral:rRNA from 1 species
CCUACGGGUGGCAGCAGUAGGGAAUCUUCCACAAUGGGCGCAAGCCUGAUGGAGCAACACCGCGUGAGUGAAGAAGGGUUUCGGCUCGUAAAGCUCUGUUGUUGGAGAAGAACGUGCGUGAGAGUAACUGUUCACGCAGUGACGGUAUCCAACCAGCAAGUCCCGGCUAACUACGUGCCAGAAGCCGCGGUAAUACGUCGGUGGCAAGCGUUAUCCGGAUUUAUUGGGCGUAAAGCGAGCGCAGGCGGUUGCUUAGGUCUGAUGUGAAAGCCUUCGGCUUAACCGAAGAAGUGCAUCGGAAACAGGGCAACUUGAGUGCAGAAGAGGACAGUGGAACUCCAUGUGUAGCGGUGGAAUGCGUAGAUAUAUGGAAGAACACCAGUGGCGAAGGCGGCUGUCUGGGCUGCAACUGACGCUGAGGCUCGAAAGCAUGGGUAGCGAACAGGAUUAGAUACCCGAGUAGUC